rnacentral:rRNA from 1 species
CGGACGGGUGGGUAACGCGUGGGUAACCUGCCUCACACAGGGGGAUAGCAGUUGGAAACGGCUGAUAAUACCGCAUAAGCGCACAGUACCGCAUGGUACAGUGUGAAAAACUCCGGUGGUGUGAGAUGGACCCGCGUCUGAUUAGCUAGUUGGCGGGGUAACGGCCCACCAAGGCAACGAUCAGUAGCCGACCUGAGAGGGUGACCGGCCACAUUGGGACUGAGACACGGCCCAG